CCUACGGGCGGCUGCAGUGGGGAAUAUUGGACAAUGGGCGAAAGCCUGAUCCAGCCAUGCCGCGUGUGUGAAGAAGGCCUUCGGGUUGUAAAGCACUUUCAGUGGGGAAGAAAGCCUUGGGGCUAAUACCCUCGAGGAAGGACAUCACCCACAGAAGAAGCACCGGCUAACUCCGUGCCAGCAGCCGCGGUAAUACGGAGGGUGCGAGCGUUAAUCGGAAUUACUGGGCGUAAAGCGCGCGUAGGCGGUCUGAUAAGCCGGUUGUGAAAGCCCCGGGCUCAACCUGGGAACGGCAUCCGGAACUGUCAGGCUAGAGUGCAGGAGAGGAAGGUAGAAUUCCCGGUGUAGCAGUGAAAUGCGUAGAGAUCGGGAGGAAUACCAGUGGCGAAGGCGGCCUUCUGGACUGACACUGACGCUGAGGUGCGAAAGCGUGGGUAGCAAACAGGAUUAGAUACCCCAGUAGGC
rnacentral:rRNA from 1 species